AGGACGAACGCUGGCGGCGUGCUUAACACAUGCAAGUCGAGCGGAAAGGCCCUUCGGGGUACUCGAGCGGCGAACGGGUGAGUAACACGUGAGCAACCUGCCCUUAGCUCCGGGAUAGCUCCGGGAAACCGGAAAUUAAUACCGGAUACGACCACGGCCGACAUCUGCUGUGGUGGAAAGGAUUCCGGCUAAGGAUGGGCUCGCGGCCUAUCAGCUAGUUGGUGGAGUAACGGCCCACCAAGGCGACGACGGGUA
rnacentral:rRNA from 1 species